rnacentral:rRNA from 1 species
GACGAACGCUGGCGGCGUGCUUAACACAUGCAAGUCGAACGGAAAGGCCCUGCUUUUGUGGGUUGCUCGAGUGGCGAACGGGUGAGUAACACGUGAGUAACCUGCCCUUGACUUUGGGAUAACUUCAGGAAACUGGGGCUAAUACCCGAUAGGAGCUCCUGCUGCAUGGUGGGGGUUGGAAAGUUUCGGCGGUUGGGGAUGGACUCGCGGCUUAUCAGCUUGUUGGUGGGGUAGUGGCUUACCAAGGCUUUGACGGGUAGCCGGCCUGAGAGGGUGACCGGCCACAUUGGGACUGAGAUACGGCCCAGACUCCUACGGGAGGCAGCAGUGGGGAAUAUUGCACAAUGGGCGGAAGCCUGAUGCAGCAACGCCGCGUGCGGGAUGACGGCCUUCGGGUUGUAAACCGCUUUCGCCUGUGACGAAGCGUGAGUGAAGGUAAUGGGUAAAGAAGCACCGGCUAACUACGUG